CUGUAAGCGUAUACCAAAGUUGUUGCAGUUAAAACGCUCGUAGUCGGAUUUUGGCGCGGCCCGCGCUGUGCGCGUAGUGCGUGUGGCGAUGGGACGUGCUUUUGUGGAUGGCGGCACGUGGUGGCUUCAUUGUCGCUGCGUGUCGGCGCCACCGUUUACUGUGAAAAAAUUAGAGUGUUCAAAGCAGGCGUUUGCCGUGAAUACAUUAGCAUGGAAUAAUAGAAUAGGACUUGGUUUCUAUUUUGUUGGUUUGUGAGAGCCGAGUAAUGAUUAAGAGGGACGGUUGGGGGCAUUUGUAUUCCGGCGUCAGAGGUGAAAUUCUUGGAUUGCCGGAAGACAAACCGCUGCGAAAGCGUCUGCCAAGGACGUUUUCAUUGAUCAAGAACGAAAGUAAGGGGAUCGAAGACGAUCAGAUACCGUCGUAGUCUUUACUAUAAACGAUGAGAACUGGGGAUCGGGCGGGCAUUACGAUGACUCGUCCGGAACCCUCCGGGAAACCAAAGUGUUUGCUUUCUGGGGGGAGUAUGGUCGCAAGGCUGAAACUUAAAGGAAUUGACGGAAGGGCAUCACCGGGUGUGGAGCCUGCGGCUUAAUUUGACUCAACACGGGAAAACUUACCAGGUCCGGACAUAGUGAGGAUUGACAGAUUGAGAGCUCUUUCUUGAUUCUAUGGUUGGUG
rnacentral:rRNA from 1 species